AGGACGAACGCUGGCGGCGUGCUUAACACAUGCAAGUCGAGCGGUAAGGCCUUUCGGGGUACACGAGCGGCGAACGGGUGAGUAACACGUGGGUAAUCUGCCCCUGGCUUUGGGAUAGCCACCGGAAACGGUGAUUAAUACCGAAUAUGACAGACCCUCGCAUGGGGGUGUGUGGAAAGUUUUUCGGCCAGGGAUGUGCUCGCGGCCUAUCAGCUUGAUGGUGAGGUAAUGGCUCACCAGUGGCUUCGGACGGGUAGCCCGGCCU
rnacentral:rRNA from 1 species